rnacentral:misc_RNA from 1 species
GAUGAAGAACGUAGCGAAUUGCGAUAAGUAAUGUGAAUUGCAGAUUUUCAGUGAAUCAUCGAAUCUUUGAACGCACCUUGCGCUCCUUGGUAUUCUGAGGAGCAUGCCUGUUUGAGUGUCAUUAAAUUCUCAACCCAUCCAACUUGUAAUAUAGUCGGUAUGUGGCUUGGAUAUGGGGUUUUGCAGGCCUUUGUUGGUCAGCUACUCUGAAAUGUAUUAGCGGAACGGUUUGCGAUCUGUCACUGGUGUGAUAAUUAUCUACGCCUAAGACUAUAGAAAGCUCUCUGUCUGUUCAGCUUCUAACAGUCCCUUGUGGACAACUUUAUUGAAAGUUUGACCUCAAAUCAGGUAGGAUUACCCGCUGAACUUAAGCAUAUCAAUAAGCGGAGGA